rnacentral:rRNA from 1 species
AACGAACGCUGGCGGCGCGCCUAAUACAUGCAAGUCGAGCGAGAAGACGUAGCAAUACGUUUGUAAAGCGGCGAACGGGUGAGGAAUACAUGGGUAACCUACCCUCGAGUGGGGAAUAACUGGCCGAAAGGUUAGCUAAUACCGCGUACGCUCCUUGGACUUCGGUUCAGGGAGGAAAGCGAUACCGUGGGUAUCGCGCUCUUGGAUGGGCUCAUGUCCUAUCAGCUUGUUGGNGAGGUAACGGCUCACCAAGGCUUCGACGGGUAGCUGGUCUGAGAGGACGAUCAGCCACACUGGCACUGCGACACGGGCCAGACUCCUACGGGAGGCAGCAGUAAGGAAUAUUGCGCAAUGGGCGAAAGCCUGACGCAGCGACGCCGC